CUACGGGUCGCUCCAGUAAGGAAUAUUGCGCAAUGGAGGCAACUCUGACGCAGCCAUGCCGCGUGCAGGAAGAAGGCCUUAUGGGUCGUAAACUGCUUUUAUUUAGGAAUAAACCCCCGAACGUGUUCGGGGCUGAAGGUACUAAACGAAUAAGCACCGACUAACUCCGUGCCAGCAGCCGCGGUAAUACGGAGGGUGCAAGCGUUAUCCGGAUUUAUUGGGUUUAAAGGGUGCGCAGGCGGGCUAUUAAGUCAGUGGUGAAAUCCCGGGGCUCAACUCCGGAACUGCCAUUGAUACUGAUAGUCUUGAGUUUGGUUGAAGUGGGCGGAAUGUAGCAUGUAGCGGUGAAAUGCAUAGAUAUGCUACAGAACACCAAUCGCGAAGGCAGCUCACUAAGCCAAAACUGACGCUCAUGCACGAAAGCAUGGGGAUCAAACAGGAUUAGAUACCCGGGUAGUC
rnacentral:rRNA from 1 species